rnacentral:rRNA from 1 species
CCUACGGGUGGCAGCAGUGAGGAAUAUUGGUCAAUGGCCGGAAGGCUGAACCAGCCAAGCCGCGUGAGGGAGGAAGGCGCAGAGCGUCGCAGACCUCUUUUGCCGGGGGACAAAAGGCAGGACUCGUCCGGUCCUGAGGGUACCCGGAGAAAAAGCAUCGGCUAAAUCCGUGCCAGCAGCCGCGGUAAUACGGAGGAGCCGAGCGUUAUCCGGAUUCAUUGGGUUUAAAGGGAGCGUAGGCGGGCCUUUAAGCCGGCGGUGAAAUCGCGGGGCUCAACCCCGCAGAGCCGUCGGAACUGGGGGCCUUGAGUGCGGCGGAGGAAGGCGGAAUGCGCGGUGUAGCGGUGAAAUGCAUAGAUAUCGCGAAGAACCCCGAUUGCGAAGGCAGCGGGCCGUGCCGCCACUGACGCUGAGGCACGAAAGCGCGGGGAUCGAACAGGAGUAGAUACCCGUGUAGUC